AUUGAACGCUGGCGGCAUGCCUUACACAUGCAAGUCGAACGGUAACAGGUCUUCGGAUGCUGACGAGUGGCGAACGGGUGAGUAAUACAUCGGAACGUGCCUAGUAGUGGGGGAUAACUACUCGAAAGAGUGGCUAAUACCGCAUGAGAUCUACGGAUGAAAGCAGGGGAUCGCAAGACCUUGUGCUACUAGAGCGGCCGAUGGCAGAUUAGGUAGUUGGUGGGAUAAAAGCUUACCAAGCCGACGAUCUGUAGCUGGUCUGAGAGGACGAACAGCCACACUGGGACUGAGACACGGCCCAGACUCCUACGGGAGGCAGCAGUGGGGAAUUUUGGACAAUGGGCGCCAGCCUGAUCCAGCAAUGCCGCGUGCAGGAUGAAGGCCUUCGGGUUGUAAACUGCUUUUGUACGGAACGAAAAGCCCUGGGUUAAUACCCUGGGGUCAUGACGGUACCGUAAGAAUAAGCACCGGCUAACUACGUGCCAGCCGCCGCAGUAAGAC
rnacentral:rRNA from 1 species